CUCCUAAGAGGGGCUGCCACAGAGCAGGGUGCUCCUCAUUUCCUGCAUCCAGUUCUGCCCCAUGAAUCAAGCCCCAGGAUCUUAGGGGCACUGCCAAGCAUGAAUGCUGCAAUCCCACAUGUUCCCCGGUACCAUCUGCAGCCCAAGAACUUCAACUGGACAGGAGAGCCGGCAGCCAUCAACUCCUGUUCAUUGUCAAUGAAGAAGGCUGGGAGGUGCUAUUUUUCCAGUGCCAGAAUCAGGCUCACUAGCCAAGGACAAGCCAGCAGAAGGCUAGAAGCCAUAAACCGAGUCCUGGCAGGAUCAGUGCCACCCACUUUAACCCCAAAGCAGGGCUAUUUUCUGCAACCGGAAAGAGUGGCAUCUGACUCAUGGACUGAAUGCACCUUGCCCUCCAUGGUAAACUCUGAACACAGAGCAGCCAAGGUUCCCCUCUGCCCUGCGUCUGCACCCAUGCUGCAGCGUUCCAGAGCACUCCUCAACAUCAAUCAGUUCAGGUAAAAGCAGGAGGGAAGCACUCUACCUCUCCUGGAUAACCUCCCCAGGUUUCCAAAGGGCAUUCAAUCUUUGCUAAAUGAAUGACUGCCACCAAGUUCCACUUUGAAAAGCCCUGCCCAGGAACCCCAUUUGUAUAAGGCAAAAUACAAAGACACCAAGAAUUCCUCAAUACCCUAAGAUUAAUUGGGGAUCGGUAAAGACUAGAAGAUGAAGAGGCGCCAAGGCCAGCCAUGUACUCAUUUCUGCUCAUCAAGCCUUAGCCUGGGUUUAUCGCUAGGUGAUGGGUCUGAACCCUAGGUGCGGCCCGGGGCUGGAGGCCAUCCAGGAGACAAUGAGCCCCGUUCCCAGAGAAGCCGAGUGCCCAAGGCACUGGGCUGUCGCCGUCAGAAGACUGCCGAGUGGAAGCC
rnacentral:lncRNA from 1 species